GGUGACCCUACUCCCCGGCAGCCUCUGCCCACAGGGUUUCACCAGCAGAGCCGGUAAUUUCUCCAGCACUGCUCUGAGGCUGGCCCCACCCCUAGCCAUCUGCUUGUGCACAGUGCCAGAUCAUUUUUCAAGACAUCAGCAGAACAGCCCAGAAAUCUCUGCAGGCCGCCCCACCGGCUCCCUGCCACGGGAGCACACCCCCAGGAUGCCAUGUCACCUCCUCCUGCAGGUCAGCAGAUAUGAUUUUAUUGAUUGGAGACGCUGGGCUCCUCGAUUUGCUACAUGGGAGAAAGCAUGCAUUUUCCUGUCUCGUCCUUAAACAACUCGUAAAAUGGAUUGUGUGUGUAAAAGGGCGACAAAAAACACUGGCCACAGCAAGCUUCACAGAAUCGCUGACUUUAUAAAUCAGGGCCGUGAGUGUCAGAGAAGCUUCCUUCUCCCUUUCUGGAUGUAAAAUGGUUCACUUUGAACUUGAGACAGAAGUCAGCCCAAAUGUCCAGGCACACCUAUAAUCCCAAUAUCUCAGAAGGCUGAAGCAGGAGGAUUGCAAGUCUGAGGCCAGCCUCAGCAACUUGGCAAGAUCCUGUCUCGAAAUACAAAAUAAGAAGGGCUGGGGAUGUUGUUCAGUGAUAGAGCACCCCUGGGUUUAAUCUCCAGUACAAAAAAUAGAAAGCGCACCCACCCACCCUAUUUAGUGGCCCUGUUUUAGCAGCAGUACCCCUGACCCCAGGGUUGGAUGACCAGGCUAUACUUUUCUGAUACUUUACAAUGAUCACUAGUGGAGUACUGCCCAGGUCUCACCCCAGGUCUCCUGCUUGCCUUUCUCUUCCACGUGGUGCCCCGGGGAUCCAGGCAGCUCCAUCUCUGAGCCUCCAGAGGCAGAGACGGAAGUUUCCAUCCACACUUCUUCUCCCGAGCUGGCCUGGGAGCAGGUUGGCUGGGAGAUGUCUCUCUGUGUCUAGCUUGGGGCCAAACCCGAGCUCCAGAGAGGCCAGGUGCAGUGCUGGGCUACCCAGACAGCUGUGUAGAAACCAUGUGCUAGUGCUGAGCACGAGGCAUGUGCAGAGUCCCAGCUGCUCAGGAGGGAGGAGGCAGGAGGGUGGCAAGUUCAAGGCCAGCCUGGGCACCUUAGCAAGACCCUCCCUCAAAAGAUAAAAGUGGGGGACCAGCGGGCGUAGCUCAGUGGUAGACCCCUGGGUUCAAUGCCCAGCUCCAAAGAAAGAAGAGAAAGCAUGGCCUUGCUGGGCACCUGUCUUAAUGUCUCAGAGGGGCCAGCCGGGCGGCCAUUUGUAAUCAGUGACCACAAAGUGGACAAACAGGUGGACACGUCUGUUCAGAGAGAAAGAACUUUCUUCAGGAGAUGAGCCAGUAUGAGGGUGCCAGUCUGGGGUCCCCGUGUUCCAACCUGCUGCCCCCACAGCCCCACCGCCUUCAGGUCUGAGCACACACAUGCUUUCUGGGUGCUAGGGGUCCCUGGCCCCAGGCCACUGGGCUUCCAGCAUCUGGACUCUACCCAGAGAGAAGAGGACAGCUGCUGGGCUCUGAGAGGGGCACAGGUAUCUUUAGAAGACAGGCCAGGGCUGAUUUCCAUUUCUACCCAGAAAAACAAAAUUAAGUGACUUAUUAAAUCUAAACCACAGAAGGCUGAACCAGAGCUGGAUGAGGGUCUUCCCUCUGGGUGGAGCGACUGAGGUGGGCAGGAGCUGUGACUGAUGAGCACCAGCGUGGUGAAGGAGCUGGACAGCGGGACAGGGCUGCAAGCGGACUUGUUCUUCCUCGGGGCUUUGGCUGUGCCCACAGUGAAAUCGGUAGCCUGACUCAGAGCAUCUGGC
rnacentral:lncRNA from 1 species